rnacentral:lncRNA from 1 species
AACCACCAGCACGCCUUCGAUCUCCUUCCAUCCAUCCUCUCCUCUCUCCCUCUCCACCCCGAGCGCAACCCCGAUCCAGUUCUCCUCCUCAACCGCGCCCGCGCGCAGCGGCGACGGCCGGCCGGCGUCAUCGCACCACAUACGUAGCACAAGAUCUCCGCCGCGCAACGGUGCUCUCCUCAGCUUCCUUUCCUUCUUCUGUGCACCUACUUUUCCAUUUCAUUUCCGUCUUCUUACGUGCGUGCUCUGUUCGUCUUGUUUCGUUCUCAAGACGUUGCUCUAUAUCAUUCAUGGCGCCCCCGCGGCCGCCUACUCCCGGCCACGACCCGGCCGUCGAAGCUCCGCCUGUUCAUGUGCUGGUCGUCGACCCCGACGGGGGGAUCUGGAUUGUUUACAUUCAAGACGAGGAAACGCAAUAGCAGGUGCAUGUCUCCGCUUUGUCAUCUUUAUUAGUAGAUUGCAAGUGUCUGUCUUGUUUUCGUUGCCAUUAUUAUGUUUUUUAUCCAACGGCCGGAAUAUAUAUGCUUUCUGUGAAAUUAAUCCUUACAGUUUGCUUGCUUCCAACGUUAAUGAGCAAAUGUGGACGCUACAUGCAGAGUGGACUUAUUUAGCAUCUCCUUAGAAGUUUCCUAGCUAGUCGUCUGUGACCACUUCUCUUUGAUGUGCUUGUUAUUUCCACACAAUAGCAGGAGUACUAUUUUCAUUUGGGUUGUUCCACAGUAGGGACCUGUAUCAAAAAAAAUGCGGAGUACUAUAUAAGAUGAUUUUCUUGUCUUUUAUACAUGUGUUUUUUUGUUGAUUUUAACGUCUCUUCUAUAAUGCGGUUUCACUAAUAUUUACUGUUUGCUCCCUUUGAAGGUAUGGAACCUUUCUAGACGGCGCUGCUACACAAAGUUGCAUCUACACCUAUACAGUCAUACGUGGCAGCGUUGCAGCGACCUUGGGCAACCGGAGCACUAUCUAUGCCCAAGACCAAGACCAACACCGUCCUCUCUCUUGCACAAGAAAUUGGAUUGUAAAAUAAGAACGGCUUGUUUCUGUACAUAUGAACUGCUUGUCACAUGCGGUGUUGCAAUGGUCUACGACAGGGUCUAGUUUUGCAACAAAAUCUCUGUUGCGGAAAUUUUCUGCAACAAGACCUCAAUUGUAGAAAAAGUUGCAACAAAACCUUAGUUUUAAUAUAUUUUUUGACAGAACAACCGUUGUAAAAGAAAAUGCAACAAGACCUAUGUUGCAGAAAUAAUUCUGCAACAAGACCUGGGUUACAAUUCUGGAGGCACGCUCGGCUCGCUUGAUGUGGCAAAUCCGAGGACUCGCGAGCCG